UUUGGGUUUUCAAUUCUUCUGAAGUUUUUUGUUUUCGAAAUUUGUCUUCCGUUAUUUUCCCCUCAAAAUUCUAAUUAGAGGAGCCGAAAAGCUGGCCACCACGUUAUACCAACAAACUAGUUGUCAAAAUUGACUCCUUGACUCCCACAUAGACAAUACUUAAAUCCUAAUUACCACGUACCCCAGAUAACUCCCACCCAAAACGUUGUGUGUCAAAAAGCCUCUCUCAAAUAACAACUUUGAUCAAAAGGCACGCCAUAUAUGUCUAUUCCUCAAUAAAAACUUCCUUGUACAUGACCUGCACACACGAAAACCUCCUGGCCCUCUUCCCAUCUUCAUAAGCUCAUGCUUUUCUCUUCCUUCCUUCUUUUUCUUCCACACUUCUCAUCACCCACCGCCUGUUUGAUAAAAUUUCCGCAGCCACCAUACUUGCAGGACAGGUUCUAUCAGUACUGUAGGCCUGCAAUUAGAUGGAAUCCAGUUAUAGAGGUGAGGAGAAUGAAGAUUACAGUGAAAACCAGAGGACGUUGAAGCCGGGCUCAGUGAUAAUCCUCUUCUUGCUCUCGGUUUUGAUUAGUGUUGCAGGAGGCUCUGUGCUUGGGUGGUGGCUCCACAAAUAUCAUCCAGACAAUAGGGAGCUUUGGAUGGUGCCAUUUGGCCUCAUUUUCCUUCUUACACCGAUAGUGAUAUGGUUCUCUCUCAUAGUCUCGGACCUGUUUGUUUCUAACCGCAAGGAAGGUGAAAAGGUUAUUCUGAGAAGGAAUCAGCCUUUCAGGUUCACCCAACAAAGGACUCUGUUUGGGACCCAAAUAGAUGGUCAGAAAAGGUGAGCGUUUAGUUCUCAAGCUGUUUCAUGUAAGUUCUCUGGUUUUAUUGGUCUGGUUCUGCUCAUUGUUGGAAUUGAGCCGCAAAAUCAUUGGGAUGGCAUUCUUCAAUUUCGCCUCAAACAGCGCCAAAUGAUUAGUGCUUGAUGCUGCAUAUAUAAUAUACUUCAGCUUGUACUUUAUUUUAUGAUUGUGUCUACAAAUUAUCAAACUGAUCUUCUGUGUUAGGUUUUUAAACGAACUUGAAGUUUGUUUGGAUCAAUUUCAUGGCCUAGAUCUUUUA